rnacentral:lncRNA from 1 species
AUGUACAUUCCUCCUUGUGCACGUCCCCAGCACCUGGCAGAUUGGCUGCCACCCUGCUUGCUGCACAGCGCCUACCCAGUGGCACACCAGCUCUCCCAGGACAUGGAUUUUCCUUUGACCCUCCAGAGUGGACAACCUAGCACUGAGCAAACGCUUGGCAGAUAUCUGAACAAGGGAAUAAAAGUGAGGCCCAGAGUUGGAACACAGUGGGCCGUGGGCCACGCGGGAAGUAAAAAGCAGCAUUUGUGUUCUGGCCUUCUGUCCCCAGCCCUGGUUCUAUUUCCUCGUCACUGGCAAGGGCUCAGCUUGGGUUUGCAGAAGCCUAGGUCCCGCCUCCCUCCCUUCCUGAGCGGUGUGGGAGUCAGCAAUGGGUGGGCAGCAGCCUUUCCUGGGGCCUGUGUAAAGGCAAUAGCAAGGGGUUGUGAUGUGUCCACCCAGAGACCCUGCCCACUCCCACCCAGAUCCUAGUCGAGGGCUAGGAACACAACCUUCUGGUCUUUUUGUCUCCUGAUUUACGGAGUGGGAUCUCCCCCGGAAACGUGUGCUGCAGGGUGGCAGUUCCUCACCUUUCUGGGAAGAUGGCUCUCUCUCUCACAGAAGAGAUGCUGAAGAAUAGAAGGGAAAAAAUGGAAAGAAAGCCUUCAUAUAGAGGCAGGGGAGGGAACUUGGGGGUGAAUGGGAUAAAAUAACAUUUAUUAAUAAAA